GACGAACGCUGGCGGCAUGCCUAAUACAUGCAAGUCGAGCGGACAGAAGGGAGCUUGCUCCCGAAAGUCAGCGGCGGACGGGUGAGUAACACGUGGGCAACCUGCCCCUUAGAUUGGGAUAACUUCGGGAAACCGAAGCUAAUACCGAAUAAUACAAGGAACCUCCUGGUUCUCUGUUGAAAGAUGGCCUUUGUGCUGUCACUAAGGGAUGGGCCCGCGGCGCAUUAGCUAGUUGGUAAGGUAACGGCUUACCAAGGCGACGAUGCGUAGCCGACCUGAGAGGGUGAUCGGCCACACUGGGACUGAGACAUGGCCCAGACUCCUACGGGAGGCAGCAGUAGGGAAUCUUCCGCAAUGGACGAAAGUCUGACGGAGCAAUGCCGCGUGAGUGAGGAAGGCCUUCGGGUCGUAAAGCUCUGUUGUGAGGGAAGAACAAGUACCGGCGUAACUACCGGUACCGUGACGGUACCUCACCAGAAAGCCACGGCUAACUACGUGCCAGCCGCCGCGGUAA
rnacentral:rRNA from 1 species